rnacentral:sRNA from 1 species
UACCGAGCGGGGAUCUACUCUUGAAAAA